rnacentral:lncRNA from 1 species
UGGGGGUGGGGGAGGCGCAAGUGGACUGACUCAGUCCCAGUCUGUUUCUACUUAAGUAGUCUCUGGGUUUUUCGUUUGCUUGUUUGUUUGUUUUUGUGAAGCACAGGUGAAACUGAGAAGUGGACAGAGGAGGCCAGAGACCGCAUGGAGCUUCCUGAGUCUUGACAUUCCAAGAAUACCCUCAACUGGUCCUCUCCUUUUUUCGAAAAACGUGACNNNNNNNNNNGGAAAGAGUAAAGCAGUUUCUGUUCAUUGUACGCUGGACAAAUUCCGAGUGGAUUCUGCAAUACUGAAUUAGCAUAGAGGACUUUCUGGAGGGAGAGAAGUGGACACUGUUCUUGACAGCUAUACUCAAUAUAUACUCACUACUUGGAAAGUAUGCUAUUGCAACGUUCUCCUUCUGGAUUCCCGGGCUGUGCAAAGUUCCCUUGGCUUAAAGUCUAUUUUUCUCUUCCAUUAGAAACCAGGAAAGCAAAUGCACACUGGCAGCUUCUCACUAUGGACCAAUCAAAUGUUUCCCAUUUGAGUCUCGCAGUACUGUGCCUCAUCUUCAUCCUGUGUGCAGAUUGCAUUCUGACCUUCUCCCCGUAGAUGAAGGAAGAUGUGCCUUGAAGACCAUGUAGAUGGCACCUUCUGGCAGCCUUGUCAGAAGAGGAGCUUCUGUGAUUUGACAGCCCUGGUGCCCAGAGACUUGCUCUCUGAGCUAAAUGGCUUAGUAACAUUCCAGGAAUGACUUCCUGUCCGCUUCAUGUAGGAACUUUCCCCUUUUGCAUUUGAGAGUAUUUGUCCAGAACCAGAAGCUUUACAAGCCCUUUGUAUUUCAGCAAUGCAAAUAGCUGAGAGAAAGACCACAGCUGAGCAGCAGCAAAUUAAGACUUCUGGACACAGUGGAAUGAAUAGCCAGGUUCUUUUUUUUUUUUUUUUUAUCAUUUCCCAAGUUGAGGAAUGAAUGAAAGAUAAAUAAAUAGUGCUGCAAAUAGUAAAAACCAAAUUAGAUUUGAGGUUUCUCCCU